UACAGGGGGUGCAAACGUUGCUCGGAAUCAUUGGGCGUAAAGCGCACGUAGGCGGUUCGUUAUGUCGGAUGUGAAAGCCCUUGGCUUAACCGAGGAAGUGCAUCCGAAACUGGCGAGCUAGAGUACUAAAGAGGAUCGCGGAAUUCCAGGUGUAGCGGUGAAAUGCGUAGAUAUCUGGAGGAAUACCGGUGGCGAAGGCGGCAUCCUGGACCGACAUUGACGCUGAUGAGCGAAAGCUAGGGGAGCAAACGGGG
rnacentral:rRNA from 1 species